rnacentral:rRNA from 1 species
CCUACGGGAGGCAGCAGUGGGGAAUAUUGGACAAUGGGCGAAAGCCUGAUCCAGCAAUGCCGCGUGAGUGAUGAAGGCCUUCGGGUCGUAAAGCUCUUUUACCAGGGAUGAUAAUGACAGUACCUGGAGAAUAAGCUCCGGCUAACUCCGUGCCAGCAGCCGCGGUAAUACGGAGGGAGCUAGCGUUGUUCGGAAUUACUGGGCGUAAAGAGUACGUAGGCGGUUAUUCAAGUCAGAGGUGAAAGCCCGGGGCUCAACCCCGGAACUGCCUUUGAAACUAGAUAACUAGAGUCUUGGAGAGGUUAGUGGAAUUCCGAGUGUAGAGGUGAAAUUCGUAGAUAUUCGGAAGAACACCAGUGGCGAAGGCGACUAACUGGACAAGUACUGACGCUGAGGUACGAAAGCGUGGGGAGCAAACAGGAUUAGAUACCCUGGUAGUCCACGCCGUAAACGAUGAUAACUAGUUGUUCGGUCACUUGGUGACUGAGUGACGCAGCUAACGCAUUAAGUUAUCCGCCUGGGGAUACGGUCGCAAGNUUAAAACUCAAAGGAAUUGACGGCUGAGAGNGCGAGACGACACGAGGAGAG